GACGAACGCUGGCGGCGCGCCUAACACAUGCAAGUCGAACGAGCGAGAGAGAGCUUGCUUUCUCAAGCGAGUGGCGAACGGGUGAGUAACGCGUGAGGAACCUGCCUCAAAGAGGGGGACAACAGUUGGAAACGACUGCUAAUACCGCAUAAGCCCACAGGUCGGCAUCGACCAGAGGGAAAAGGAGCAAUCCGCUUUGAGAUGGCCUCGCGUCCGAUUAGCUAGUUGGUGAGGUAACGGCCCACCAAGGCAACGAUCGGUAGCCGGACUGAGAGGUUGAACGGCCACAUUGGGACUGAUACACGGCCCAGACUCCUACGGGAAGCAGCAGUGGGGAAUAUUGCACAAUGGGGGAAACCCUGAUGCAGCGACGCCGCGUGGAGGAAGAAGGUCUUCGGAUUGUAAACUCCUGUUGUUGAGGAAGAUAAUGACGGUACUCAACAAGGAAGUGACGGCUAACUACGUG
rnacentral:rRNA from 1 species